AAAACCCAAAAACAAAGACCCAAGGAGAACGAGCCCUUAAUCUCUUUAACCAACCAGCCGCCGCCACCAAUCCUAACGGAACACACACACAAUCGCCGCCGCCGACAACCUAACGCCUCCCCACUUUAGAUUUUAUUAAAAUUCACUCUCUCAAAAUUUAAAAGAUACACAUACAUAUAGAAAUAGGAAAUCCAGUCAACCUCCAUCCGUCAAAAAAUGUUUAUGAUUUUUGAUAAUUAAGCUGCGAAAGGAGAAGUAUUCUGCCCUCUUCACGUUUCAAUUUUCGUUUUGAAGAUGGAAUUUGUUUAAAGUUUGAGUUUGAGAUCGAGUUUGGGUUCAAGAUUCCGGUACCGAUUCGAGAUCCCGUCCGGGGUUCGCGGUUCCUACUCGUUUGUAUUGCUGCUUCUUAAAUGAAUUUUUAGAUCCGAACUUUGGAAUUGUUGAUCUCUUCUGCCGCUAUUAAUUUUUUUUUGCUUCAACAGGUUCAUUUUGUUCCCUUAACUUAAUAUGGAUUAUUGUGAAUCAAACUUUAGGAGAUCCGUUAAAAGAUAGCUUAAAAUCAGUAGUGAUUUCUAUGAUCUCGUUUAAUUCCUUGAUCCAAAAUUAUGUUGCGUUGAUUGAGCUUCCUUUAAGUUUUAUUCCUUAGUAAAAUUUCUAGUUUGAGUGAAUUUAACUUGUAUUCAAAUAUUUAGUUUCAUACUGCUUUCACAUUGAAUUUGCAAUUAGUUGUUUGAGGUGUUUUUGAUAAAAUGAAGUAAAGUGUUCUGUGCACUUCUUUUUCUUUCUGCAAGUAAUGGCAUGAGCAUUUAAAGGUCUUCAUAAUUCACUUAUAAGGGUAUUCAAAAUAAUCAUGUGUUUUAGUGAUUUAAAUUAAAAGUAUUUGAAGUAUUGUGCUAAUUCAUUGUUUGAGUCGAAUAAAAUUCUCAAUUCAUCUUAUAGUUGAGAUAAUGUUCCAAUUAAAUGGGUAAAAUGCCUUGAACGUGGGAUUUACCAUACAGCUUUAAGAUUUUAGCCUUUCGGUGGUUUUUUGAGAAUUCCUGUUGUUAUAAGUACUUGGGUAGGCAAGCCGGAGGAUUAGUUUCGAGUCGGAGGUUGUUCCCUUAGUUAAAUUUAUCCGGGAAAUACCCCGAAGGAUUUGUAUAUAUUUUAUUCGGGGUAUGCCCCAAAGUAUUUGUAUUUGGAGGCUGAAAGUAGAGCUCUUAGUAUUUUUAUUUUUAUUUUCAUUUUCGUUUCUCUUUUAUUAGGUGGGGAUGACCUCUAGCCUCUUGUGUGUUUAUUUUAUUUUUGUGUCUUUGCCUCAAUUAAAAUAUUCUUUAAAGCCAGCUUGAUCAUGUGCGCAACCGUACUAGUUACGGGACUUAGGGAAUGCCUAAUACUUUCUCUCCGAGUCAAAUGAAUCCCCUUAUUCGAAUCUCUGGUGCAGACUUAGUUUGGAGUCCAAAGUAUUUUAAAAGGAAAAUAAUUUUAGAAACGGUGACCUGACACAUCGAAACCAAUGUCAGGUGGCGACUCUGAGUUAUUUUCUUUUGAACACAAUUUUGUCACUUUUUAAUUAAAAACCCUUUUGAGCUUUACAAAUCUUUUUUAUUAUUUAAAGAGGGUUUAGUGAGGUUAUAAAAAAGGGGUGUGACAACAAUGAGAUAUACUAAAUAUAAUCACUUCUAGUUUUUGUAUAUUUCUUGCAAAUUUUGCUAGAGUUUAAGUUGAUCUAGUAAUGUUAUCCAUAUUCUUCAAAAUGAUAUAAAUAAGAUAUAUUAUAGUAAACAUCAUUAUCAAAUCAUAAUUUUUCUUUAUGUAAAACAAUUACAUAAUCAUAAUAUCUAUUACGAACAACAAAAAUUAAAAUAUUUACAUUUCUACAGAUUCAUCACAGAUUACAUGACUUGUUUCUCUUUCUGGAAGUGCAAGGUAAUCAGUUACAUCCAAAUGCGUGAAGUCUAAAUUAUCUUCAGAAAUAAAAUUAACUUCAACAUUUUUCUCUGUCUUCUUUAGGGAGGCUUGAUAAAGCUCAACCAGGUGCUUUGGCGUACGACAUGUACGUGACCAGUGCCCUUUUCCUCCAUAUCUAUAGCAUGCAUUUUCUGCAUUUGGUGUUUGCACCGCUUCAUGCUUUUGUUCCUUCCUUUUCCACUGCUGGUGGUGAGAAGAGUUCUUUGGUGCAUUAUUAUUACCAUGAUUAAAAUUUCUUCCCCGACCACGGCCAUGACCACGACUGGGGCCACUACCUCUUUCACGUCUAGCUUGGUGGAAGUUCGUCUCAUCCACUUCACGGAAUGGACAAGAACCAGUAGGUCGACUUUCAUGAUUUUUCAUUAAUAGCCCAUUAUGUUGCUCGGCUAUAAGAAGAUGUGAGAUAAGUUAAGAAUACCUUUUAAAUCCUAUCUCUCGAUAUUGCUGCUGC
rnacentral:lncRNA from 1 species